rnacentral:rRNA from 1 species
CCGGUGGGAUAGGGUAAGGGCCGGUGUGGUGGGCGGGGCGCGUACGCAUCCCUCCUUCUACUAGGAGCGCCACGACUAGCGGCAAGACGAUAGAAGCGGCGCCGGCCCCCGCCGCCGCCGCUGCCGCUACGUCGGCUCCCUCUGCACGGACGCCGCCACGCCGUUGUAGCUGUAGGGCAUGGGCAAGCCGCACCCGUCGCCCACGGUGGAGCUCUGGCCCCUGACCUGGAAGAGCGAGUCGACGUUGGCGUGGCGGCUGCCCGCCGUGGCCGACAUGUUGAUGGUCUAGCUCCACGACCUGUACAGCCACGCCGCGCCCGUCGACGCGUAGAUGUCGGAGUAGUUGGGCACCACGAUGUUGCGGUGGUGCGCGCGGUACUUGCUGGUCUUGUUGACCACCAUGUUGUACCUGUAGUGGUUGAAGGCGUAGUUGCUGCGGGAGUUGGCGAAGUGGCAGUAGCCGACGUUGAGCGAGCGGAUGUAGGCGAGCGAGUUGCUGUGGCGGCUGGCGAUGUACUGCCCGACGUACCGGUACACGGGGCCGCACCGGGCGGACCUCUUGCCGAGGACGCGGCCGCAGCCGACGACGGUCUGCCGGUAGGGCAGGCCGGAGUUGCCGAUGGUCUAGAGGAAGCUCCUCUUCAAGUUGUGGAGGCCGUGGCGCCCUAAGUCGGGGACGUCGAUGCGGCACGACGAGCUCCGGCGGCGGAAGCUGAAGGCGUGGUGGAUGUAUUGGUGGCUGCUCAAGUACCGGCGGUUGCCGUCCGUCCACGGCGAGCACGAGCUGACCCGGUAGCCCUUGUUCUGCACGCUCCUCCGGUUCGCGUUGAGCAGCCGGAUGCGGACGCAGUCGUCGUUGUCGCUCACGCAGCUGAGGUUCAUGCCUGCCCCGUUCCCUAUGGAGACGUUGACGAGGCGGCCGAUGCUGCCGUUAGGGAUGGAGGAGCUGCCGACAGUUCCAUGACAACCAAACCAACCGUAGAAGGGAAGGGAAGGCAACCAACCAACCAACAAAGGUAAGGUGACGCUGCUCAAGUACCGCUAAGUACGUACGGGCCGGCAAAACCGACGGAACAGGAACGUCUAUAGUUGCUCACGGUUCUGCUUGCCAUGGGGACGAGACAAGGCCUAUGCACGCACUUAUGGUAGCCUCCUAUGUCGACGCAAACGGGACUUUUCUGUAGUCCGUUGCGUAUGUUGCCUUGUACGCUCUUUCUGUUCAGAGUCUAGCCCACCCUCUAGCGGUAACCUCAGUCGUAGCCACACUAGCAUGACUAUCGGUGGCGAAGGACGCGGAUGUACUAGAUGCGGUUUGCCUCCGACCGGUUCUAGUUCUCUCUCAUGAAGCUCGUCGUGCCCCCGGAGUGCGACAAGCUGCUCUACUCCAGCUCCGUCCCGAACAGGAAGUUCGAGAAGUGGGUCCUUCUCGACCUCCUCCGCUGCCCGUCCAAGCUGCUCGCGUUGCACUAGCCGUUCCCCCGGUUGCCGUGGCACAUGUUCCCUUGGUGGUUCCUGCCGCUGGACCACCGGUAGUUCUUCACGUCCGAGCGGUCGCUCUCCGUCGUCUUCCUCAAGCCGUUCCUCUACGAGUAGCACAGGGUCUAGUUGGUGGCGAUGUAGCAGUUCGAGAUGCCGACGACGGAGCUCCACCUCCAGGGGUACGAGCAGAUGUUCAUGUAGGGGUUGCCGUGGGAGAUGGCCGAGUAGGUGCCGGCGGCGCUCGCGCUCCCGGGCGCGUAGGGGAAGUGGCGGGCCGAGUUCUAGCGGGUGGUCUGGCGGCUCCGCGAGAGGAUGGACGUGAGGACCCGGAGCGGCGGGUAGGAGGUGCCGCUACAGUUCUGCAGGUUGUAUGAGGAGCUGGUCCUAAUGUGCCGGUUCCAGAGGCUGAAGCCCCGCAGGUGCGACCGCGGGUGCCUGCUCCGCGUCAAGCAGUGGAAGCACGUCCCGUGGACGCCCAUGGAGCUGGGCCUCAUGUACUCCUGCACGUUCGAGUGGCUGUUCUCGCUGCACAUGUCGAAGCCGCAGCAGGACGACCUCGACGAGUGCACGUCCUUCCGCGAGUUGGACCUCCUCGAGCUCCUCCUCUUCAUGGAGAGCAGCGUCAAGGAGGACCAGGAGCCCCUCUUGUUCGACCUCCUCUACGAUCUGGGGGUCUAGUUCGCACUCGUCUCGUAGCUCCACGAGCUCGUCCGCCGCCUCGACCGCUUCGCCACGAACCUCUACGACCCGCUCUUGUCCGGCAGGUACGCCCUCCAACGCCUCCUCGAAGUAUCCAACUCGUUCGACCGGGUCGUAGGUACCCCCGGCGGUCUAAGACGCCUCGAUCACCUUGACAAUGCACCUAGUGGCAGCGGCUGGUGCAUGAGACCGGUGAGACCCAGACCCCAUCUCGAAUCAUCGUGAUCUUUACAGUCAAAGUGACUGUGCCGCAUGUAUCCUUAAGUCAGAGGCGCAACUACGGGCCACGUCAAACCCAUGUAUGUGAGCACACUGUUUAGGAGGACAAAAAACGAGAGGGCUAACUACGUUUGUUUGUAACUUCGUAAAAAAGUGGAAAUGAGGGGUAAACAUGCAAAAACUGUAUAAAAUG